rnacentral:lncRNA from 1 species
UUGAUGUGUUGCAAGUAUCCUAUACCCUUCUUUUGGAUAUCUUGAAAUUAUUCUGAUCCAUUCUUUUCGUAUGUGUUGCAAAUAUUCGUUCCUCUCUUUUUCAUAUUUGAAAGUGUAAAUAUUUUAUCCAUCCUUUUCUAAUCCUCAAAAAAAUUCAGAUAAUUCUAGUUUUACAAAUUAAUUCGAAGUUCAGAUUGUCAUUGAAGCAUGUGUUGCUCAGUGAUGGUUAGAACCUAGAAUGACUUGGGAUCUUCUUGAUUAUUCAACCCGCCAUUGUCAUGCUGGUUUAGCAGGCUAAAUUCAGUUGCUUAGCCG